rnacentral:lncRNA from 1 species
UUAGACUAGUGAUGAUUUAUUUACUAAAUAUUUUACGAACUCCAUUAUGUCGUUGUAUAUUUUUUUAAUAAUAUUAAUUUUGAAAAUAGUAAAAAAUAUAAAAAAUAUAAUUAAAUUUUAAUUAUUUAGUUAAAUUAUAAUCAAUUUUAAAAUUAAUAUAUAGGAAUUAAUUUAAAGAAAUAAUAAUAUAAAUUAAAGUCUUAAAUUUUAUUAAACAAAAUCAUUGUAGAAAUAAAAUUUGUAUAUGUAUUAAAUUAAUCGAUUGAAGAAAAAAAAGAUGAUGUUUACAAAAAAAAAAAUGAUGAUAGUGAUUGUGAAAAAGUAUAAAUUAGGAUGUUGAAUUCAUACAACCAUAGUAACAAAGAAAAGAAAAGAAAAACUCAUACGACCAUUAUAUGCGGUCUUAGAACGUAGGAUACCUUCUUACAUUUAGAUCUUAACUCACUUUACA